UACGUAGGGUGCAAGCGUUGUCCGGAAUUAUUGGGCGUAAAGAGCUCGUAGGCGGUUUGUCGCGUCUGCUGUGAAAACUCGGGGCUUAACUCCGGGCCGGCAGUGGGUACGGGCAGACUAGAGUGCGGUAGGGGAGACUGGAAUUCCUGGUGUAGCGGUGAAAUGCGCAGAUAUCAGGAGGAACACCGGUGGCGAAGGCGGGUCUCUGGGCCGUAACUAACGCUGAGGAGCGAAAGCGUGGGGAGCGAACAGG
rnacentral:rRNA from 1 species